AGCGAACGCUAGCGGCAGGCUUAACACAUGCAAGUCGAACGAAGUUCUUCGGAACUUAGUGGCGAACGGGUGAGUAACACGUAGGUAAUGUACCCUUUGGUGGAGGAUAACUCAGGGAAACCUGAGCUAAUACUGCAUAUGUCCUUCGGGAUAAAAGUCUUCGGACGCCUUAGGAGCAGCCUGCGGCCCAUUAUCUAAUCCUAGUUGGUAGGGUAACGGCCUACCAAGGGUACGAUGGGUAGCUGGUCUGAGAGGAUGAUCAGCCACACUGGGACUGAGACACUGCCCAGACUCCUACGGGAGGCAGCAGGUGGGGUAAUUUUGGACAAUGGGGGCAACCCUGAUCCAGCCACGCCGCGUGAGUGAAGAAGGCCUUCGGGUUGUAAAGCUCUUUCAGGUGGAAAGAAAUCACUACCCCGAAUACGGGUGGUGGAUGACGGUACCAUCAGAAGAAGCACCGGCUAACUACGUG
rnacentral:rRNA from 1 species